UUCACUGUGAUAGAAAUGCAUCCAAAUAAGUAUUUAACUGAACUGGCGGCGGAGAAGGACAGCAUGGACUCAUCCUUUGUGCACGCCGUGCGCCUUCUGGCAGAAGAGAUUGAAAAGAAUGAUGGUGAUGACCAGAGAAAAGAUGGUGACCUAAAGAAAUAUCUAGACAUCAUCAGCAAUAAGAACAUCAAACUCUCAGAAAGAGUUCUCAUUCCAAUCCAGCAGUAUCCAAAGUUUAAUUUUGUGGGGAAGCUGCUGGGACCACGAGGAAAUUCUAUGAAACGACUGCAGGAGGAAACCGGGGUGAAGAUGUCCAUCCUUGGCAAAGGAUCUAUGAGGGAUAAAGACAAAGAAGAAGAGCUGAGAAACAGCGGAGAAGCCAAGUACGCUCAUCUGAGUAACGAUCUCCACGUUUUAAUUGAAGUCUUUGCUCCACCUGGAGAGGCCUAUUCCCGCAUGAGUCACGCCUUGGAGGAGAUUAAAAAAUUCCUUGUUCCUGAUUAUAAUGACGAGAUCAGACAGGAGCAGCUGAGAGAGCUCUCUCUCCUGAACGGCUCAGACGAGUCGAGAGGAGGGAGGAGUGCACAGGGGAGGAGUGUACGAGCAGCAAGCACAAGGGGCCACAGAGGAACAGGAAGGAGUGUAACAGCACCUCGGGGGACAGGAGCAGCAGCAGCAGCAGCAGCAGCAGCAGCAGCUUCACACAGCAAACUCCCCACAACUGCUUUAACAAGAGAGCCACGAGCUCCUAAAGGCAGGGCUGCAGCAGGGAGUGCUGGAUACAGGGUCCCGCUGUUAGCAGUCACACAUGAAUCAUACGAUGACUAUGGCUACGACGAUGGAUAUGGCGGAGAAUAUGAUGACGAGAGUUACGAAGCCUAUGAAGACAACUACAAUAAUAACUCAAACAGUGUUUCAGAUUAUUAUGAAUAUGAACAUGGAACCGGUGAUGAAUCCUACAACAACUAUGAUAAAAGAGACGAGUGAAAAGGUCCCAGCAGAAAUGUGCGAGUUGCUCCAACAGACAAAGCUGAAAAGGCAGUACGUGCCAAAGCUUCACCUAAUCCCCGAGGACAGAUACCUGGUACCGUAUUCAUAAUUCAUACUUUUCCAGUGAUGUUUUUCCAGAGGUGUUGUUGGUUGUUUUUUUUAAUGUACUGUAUUCACUGGUAAUUUUGUACUUGUGCUGAUAAUGCACAACAUGAUUUAUGAACAGAGCUGAUCCAGAGGUUUUUGUUCUUCCCUUUCUGACAAGCAAAGUUGCUCUUCUUCUCUGCACAAACAUUUUCUUCCUAGUAAGAUUUUAAAUUUGUACUUUUGUAAACUCUGGCAGCACAUUGGUUGCAUUUUAUCUUCCACUUUUCAAACAAAGGUACAUAGAUGUACAGUAGAAUUUGAAAAUGGUUUUAUUGAGGUUUAUAUGAAAACUAUCAGACAUUAAAGAAUGAGCUCUCGUUAAUGAUGAGGUAAUGUUUUAAAGUUAGCCUUCAGUAGACCAACUACAUAUUGUUAACCUUAGUUCAUAUAAAGAUUAAUAGAUAUGAUACUUUAAUAACUUUAAUAUUAGCUGUGUAUUAUAUUUACAUUCACAUUUAUCCAUGUCUUUAUCCAAAGUAACUUACUUUGGAUGAAAUACAAUCGUCCCUCAUCGUAUCACGGUUCAGCUGUCAAGUCCUUGGUGCAUUGUGGGUUUUUAAUAUUUUAAAUGUCUUCUUGUAUUGCAGAUUUUUCGCUCUGUUGCGGGUGUUUGCGUUGUGUAAAAUGUCUAAAUUUCCAAAAUGUUCAUUAUUUUCGUGGUAAAAUAAGCAUUGUCUAGUCUAAGAAGAAAGAAUAGCAGUUAAAAAAUAGUAAAAAAUACAUUAAAAGACAUUUUCUAACACAUACAUACAGAGUAUUGUAAGAAAUAACCUGUACGUACGGGUGUAUGGGAUUUGUGAAAGUUUUGUUAAGUAUUUUGCCCUAAUCCACGCCCUACGAUGCCUUCUAAAGAGUUUGUAAAGGGUUAAUAUAUAUGUAGAUAAUAUAAUCACUAUUGUGUUUGUACUUCGCAAUUUUUCAACUAUCAUGGGUGGUCUUGGAACGUAACCAUCGCGAUAGACGAGGGACCACUGUGAACAUCAAACUGUGAAACAAAAAACAAUUUUAAAAGUAAAUAUCAUCAAUGACAACCUCAUGUUUUUUUAUUGUUCCGAAAACCAACCUUUUUUUUAAAUGUCAGUGUCACUGAUUAUUUCUUUUUUUGGCUGCAACAGCCUUCGUGAAAGAAUCUCCUUUAGAAGUGGGGAAAACAAACAGCAGAGCAGAGAAAUGUGGCUAAAACCGUGACAGUCUCCAUUUCACUCCAUCUGUCUUUUUCAUAUAAUAUCACAUAAUGACGCGCCGUAGGCUUGAAACACAUAUGGCACAUUUCUCCCAAGGUGACCAAAAUAAUAGGCGCACAUGGUAGGACGAGCAGAUUCAACGAAGGGACACAAAACACAAGUUGCUUCGCCACGUUUGGUUUAAUUGUACAAUGGCGACACGGUUCUGGAGCAACACCCUGUCAUUCUGCAAUAAUGUUACAUGAAAUGCAUCGUGCUCCCAUUGUUUUCACAGAAGUUAAGUUGCUUUUUCUUUGUUCUGUUCUGUUCUCCACACAGACAUUGUGCAGCUGAGACUACUCUGCCAUUGGACAUCUUUAGGUUUUCUGUCAUUCAGAUGGUUUUUAGGUAUGUACAAUAUUCUAUGUUUACCUGUUGCUCUCUAUAUUGCGGCAUUCAAUAAUAGAUCAUAAUGUCAUACAAGAGAACCACACCCACUUUGGUAUUAAAAAGUAUUAUAAUAUGUAUAAUUAUAAUAUAUUAAAUAUAUAAAUAUAUAUUAAAAUAUAGUUAAACAAUAGGAAUUACUUUUAACUCUGUGUUUUUGCCUUAACAUAUGUUAUUAUGCCCUUUUUUAUGAUGGGACAUUGGAACAUUGAUCGAAAGCAACAUAUUAUAUAAGUUCCUGAACAAAUCUCCGAAAAUAAAAGUUUCUCAAAAAUCACUAAAUAUACUCAUUUGCCUUAAAAUACUUA